AGAGUUUGAUCAUGGCUCAGGAUGAACGCUAGCGGCAGGCUUAAUACAUGCAAGUCGUGGGGCAGCGCAGGUAGCAAUACUGGGCGGCGACCGGCAAACGGGUGCGGAACACGUACGCAACCUUCCUUUAAGUGGGGAAUAGCCCAGGGAAACUUGGAUUAAUACCCCGUAACACUGCGGUGUGGCAUCACACUGCAGUUAAAGCUACGGCGCUUAAAGAUGGGCGUGCGGCUGAUUAGGUAGUUGGCGGAGUAACAGCCCACCAAGCCAACGAUCAGUAACUGGUGUGAGAGCACGACCAGUCACACGGGCACUGAGACACGGGCCCGACUCCUACGGGAGGCAGCAGUAAGGAAUAUUGGUCAAUGGACGCAAGUCUGAACCAGCCAUGCCGCGUGGAGGAUGAAGGCCCUCUGGGUUGUAAACUUCUUUUAUUUGGGAAGAAACCCAUCCUUUCUAGGGUGGUUGACGGUACCAGAUGAAUAAGCACCGGCUAACUCCGUGCCAGCAGCCGCGGUAAUACGGAGGGUGCAAGCGUUAUCCGGAUUCACUGGGUUUAAAGGGUGCGUAGGUGGGCAGGUAAGUCAGUGGUGAAAUCUCUGGGCUCAACCCAGAAACUGCCGUUGAUACUAUCUGUCUUGAAUGUAGUGGAGGUGAGCGGAAUAUGUCAUGUAGCGGUGAAAUGCUUAGAUAUGACAUAGAACACCAAUUGCGAAGGCAGCUCGCUACACUAUUAUUGACACUGAGGCACGAAAGCGUGGGGAUCAAACAGGAUUAGAUACCCUAGUAGUCC
rnacentral:rRNA from 1 species